rnacentral:rRNA from 1 species
GAAUAUUGGACAAUGGGGGCAACCCUGAUCCAGCCAUGCCGCGUGAGUGAUGAAGGCCUUAGGGUUGUAAAGCUCUUUCAGCGGGGAAGAUGAUGACGGUACCCGCAGAAGAAGCCCCGGCUAACUUCGUGCCAGCAGCCGCGGUAAUACGUAGGGACCAAGCGUUGUUCGGAUUUACUGGGCGUAAAGGGCGCGUAGGCGGCGCGGUAAGUCACUUGUGAAAUCUCUGAGCUUAACUCAGAACGGCCAAGUGAUACUGCAGUGCUAGAGUGUGGAAGGGGCAAUCGGAAUUCUUGGUGUAGCGGUGAAAUGCGUAGAUAUCAAGAGGAACACCUGAGGUGAAGACGGGUUGCUGGGCCAACACUGACGCUGAGGCGCGAAAGCCAGGGGAGCAAACGGG